rnacentral:rRNA from 1 species
UUGGGAAUAUUGGACAAUGGGGGAAACCCUGAUCCAGUGACGCCGCGUGAAGGAAGAAGGUCUUCGGAUUGUAAACUUAUUUUAUCAGGGAAGAAAAAAAUGACUGUACCUGAAGAAGAAGCACCGGCUAACUACGUGCCAGCAGCCGCGGUAAUACGUAGGGUGCAAGCGUUAUCCGGAUUUACUGGGUGUAAAGGGCGAGUAGACGGCGUUGCAAGUCAGAUGUGAAAGGCUAGAGCUCAACUUUAGGACUGCAUCUGAAACUGUAAUGCUAGAGUGCAGGAGAGGUAAGCGGAAUUCCUAGUGUAGCGGUGAAAUGCGUAGAUAUUAGGAGGAACACCAGUGGCGAAGGCGGCUUACUGGACUGUAACUGACGUUGAGGCGCGAAAGUGUGGGGAGCAAACAGG